rnacentral:rRNA from 1 species
AAUCAUUGGGCGUAAAGCGCCUGUAGGUUGUUUAAUAAGUCUGUUGUUAAAGACUAGGGCUUAACCCUAGGAAAGCAAUGGAAACUACUAGACUUGAGUAUGAUAGGGGUAGAGGGAAUUUCUAGUGUAGCGGUGAAAUGCGUAGAUAUUAGGAAGAACACCGGUGGCGAAGGCGCUCUACUGGAUCAUUACUGACACUCAGAGGCGAAAGCUAGGGUAGCAAAAGGGAUUAGAUACCCCUGUAGUCCUAGCCGUAAACGAUGGAUACUAGAUGUUGCGUUUAUUAUGCAGUAUCGUAGCUAACGCGUUAAGUAUCCCGCCUGGGGAGUACGCUCGCAAGGGUGAAACUCAAAGGAAUUGACGGGGGCCCGCACAAGCGGUGGAGCACGUGGUUUAAUUCGAUGCAACGCGAAGAACCUUACCAAGGCUUGACAUACUACAAAUUUUUCUGAGGAGAAAAAGUGCCUUCGGGAAUGUAGAUACAGGUGGUGCAUGGCUGUCGUCAGCUCGUGUCGUGAGAUGUUGGGUUAAGUCCCGCAACGAGCGCAACCCUUGUUUUUAGUUGCCAAUUUAUUGGGUUUUCUAGAAAGACUGCCGGUGACAAACCGGAGGAAGGUGAGGAUGACGUCAAGUCAGCAUGCCCCUUAUGCCUUGGGCUACACACGUGCUACAAUGGCUAGGACAAAGAGUUGCGAGCUCGCGAGAGUCAGCUAAUCUCAUAAACUUAGCCUAAGUUCGGAUUGUAGGCUGCA